rnacentral:rRNA from 1 species
UACAGAGGUCUCAAGCGUUGUUCGGAUUCAUUGGGCGUAAAGGGUGCGUAGGCGGCGCGGUAAGUCGGGUGUGAAAUCUCGGAGCUUAACUCCGAAACUGCAUUUGAUACUGCGGUGCUUGAGGACUGGAGAGGAGACUGGAAUUUACGGUGUAGCAGUGAAAUGCGUAGAGAUCGUAAGGAAGACCAGUGGCGAAGGCGGGUCUCUGGACAGUUCCUGACGCUGAGGCACGAAGGUCAGGGGAGCAAACGGG